UACGGAGGGGACUAGCGUUGUUCGGAAUUACUGGGCGUAAAGCGCGCGUAGGCGGAUUUGCAAGUCGGGGGUGAAAUCCCGAGGCUCAACCUCGGAACUGCCUUCGAUACUGCAAAUCUCGAGUCCGGAAGAGGUGAGUGGAAUUCCUAGUGUAGAGGUGAAAUUCGUAGAUAUUAGGAAGAACACCGGUGGCGAAGGCGGCCCACUGGAUCGGUACUGACGCUGAGGUGCGAAAGCGUGGGGAGCAAACAGG
rnacentral:rRNA from 1 species